GACGAACGCUGGCGGCGUGCCUAAUACAUGCAAGUAGAACGCACAGUUUAUACCGUAGCUUGCUACACCAUAGACUGUGAGUUGCGAACGGGUGAGGAACGCGUAGGUAACCUGCCUGGUAGCGGGGGAUAACUAUUGGAAACGCUAGCUAAUACCGCAUAAUAUUAAUUAUUGCAUGAUAAUUAAUUGAAAGGUGCAAUUGCACCACUACCAGAUGGACCUGCGUUGUAUUAGCUAGUAGGUGAGGUAACGGCUCACCUAGGCGACGAGACAUAGCCGACCUGAGAGGGUGGUCGGCCACACUGGGACGGUGACACGGCCCAGACUCCUACGGGAGGCAGCCGUAGGGCAUCUUCGGCAAUAGGCGAAAGUCUGACCGAGCAACGCCGCGUGAGUGAAGAAGGUUGUCGGAUCGUAAAGCUCUGUUGUAAGAGAAGAACGGGUGUGAGAGUGGAAAGUUCACACUGUGACGGUAUCUUACCAGAAAGGGACGGCUAACUACGUG
rnacentral:rRNA from 1 species